rnacentral:rRNA from 1 species
UAAUGUUGAAUAGAAAGGUUCCUUUUGAAUCAUGAGCUGAUGACUUUGUGUUGGUUGAAGGCAUAUUAUUAAUCGUGUGUUCUAUUAAUAUAAGUGGCUUAAUUUAUUAAAAGUAAGCUUAUUAUGAAAAUAAUCAUAAAAAACCAACACAAGACGCGAAACGAAGUGAGCUUAGGUAGACCAGGGGGAAGGUUGCCGGAAGGUAGUUGGACGCCCGAAGUGGUAUGCGUUGCAACGCAUUCAUAUGAGUUUAUUUAAGUGGCGAAAUACCAAUCGAACUUCGAAAUAUCUCGUUUUUUGCGAAACCUUUUUAGGAAGGGGGCCUGCAGAAUAAAUGCUAACUAGGUAGAGCGCUGUAAAACUGAUGGGAAGGAAACUUUUACUGAGGUGUUGCAAACCACAAAUUAGGAGCAUUUUGCCAGGUACUCAGUCAGUGCGGGACAAGCUGCAUUUGACAAGAAGGAAACAGCCUAGACUAUUAAUUAAGGCCCGUAAAUAGCGCUGAGUGAGAAAGUAAUUAACUUCACAAAAAUUAGUAGGACGUUUGAUUAGCAGCAUCUACCGUUUAAAGAAAGCGUAAUAGCUCACUACUAUAGUUUAGUUGUUGCGAAAAUUUAGCCGGACUAAGCGCUAUGCCGAAAUUAUAGCUAACCAGACUUUUAUAACUGUAUAUAAUAAACAAUAAAAGCCAGUUAGAGUAGCAAAACGAACCAUGUUGACAAAAUUAUGUCGGUAAGACUUAAUGAAAAUAUUGGUUGUGAAUAUAUCAGCUAGAGUAACAUAUAAAUUGAGAUGUUAAAAUGAAUGCACCUGUACUUUUGUAUGAAUAAUAAACUAUUAUACUAGAAAAAAAAAAGCAACAAAGGUACAGGUGCAUUAAUUCAGAACAGUAUCUCAAUGAUCGGAAAUCCUGGGUUUUCUACACAACUAUUAAAGAUGUAGUUAAAAAUACGGUCCCUAAGUAUUAUAAAGAUUACGAUGGGUACUUGCUGUGUCCAACAAAACCUUAUUAAUAGGUCUGUUGCAGGAAACAGUAGCAAGGCAUUAGCAUAACAUUUUUUUUUAUGCAUAUUAUAAGCACCGUACUAAAACUGACUCUGGUGGAUUGGUAGAUUUUACUAAGAUUUGGUUAUAAUCGCUCGUAAGGAACUCGGCAAAUUGCGCUGGUACUUUCGAAAACAGCGGUCUAAAAGUGAUGUUUUAGAUCUCAGAUAAGAAAACUGGGUGACAGUUUACUAAAAACUUAGCGUCCUGCCAAUUUGAAACAAGACGUAUAGGAUGUGACGUUUGCUAACGGCCACUAAUUUAAGUAGUCUGUUGUAAAAGAUAGAUAAACAAGAUGUGGUGACGAGCGGCCGUAACUAUAACGGUCAUAAAGUAGCGAAAUUCCUAGGCAUUUAAUUGGUGUCCUGCAUGAAUAACGUAACAACCUGGUUGCUGUCUCGCGAGCGAAAGCCGUGAAAUAAGAAUAUCGGUUAAAAUACCGAUUAGGCUGUCUUAGACGAUAAGACCCUGUGAAGCUUUACUGUAACCUAACAUUGCGAUCGGUUUUUUAUCUUACAGUUAGGCGGGAGGUAACGACAAUGGAAAACCGCUAGAUAAUAAAUUGGUCGCUUUUAUAUAAGAUUACUUUUUAAUCUGUAAGAUAUUUAUAUAAGCAGCUUCAUAAAACAUCUGUUACGCAAGUAACAGACAGUGUAUGUAAGCAAGCCUUAUGUAAAACACUUUAAUUAAUAAAGAGCGAAGACAGUGUUAGGUGGGCAGUUUACUUGGGGCGAGGUCUGGCUAAAAGGUAACGCCAGAGAGCAAAAGGUAUGCUCAGUAUUGUCGGAAACAAUAUGUAGAGCGUAAUAGUAUAAGCAUGCCUGAUUAUAAGACUGACAAGUCGAAUAAAGACGAAAGUCUGCUAUAGUGACCCUCACAUGCUAUGUGGAAAGGUGUGAGAUCAACGAAUCAAAGUUACUCCAGGGAUAACAGGGUAGUCCUGGCUUAUAGUUCUUAUAGACGCCAGGGUUCGCCACCUCGAUGUUGCCUCAGGUCAUCCUAGAGCUGCACAAGGUUCUAAGGGCGCAACUGUUCUUUGCAUAAUGACCUACGUGAGGUGAGUUUAAACCGCCGUAAGGCAGGUUUGGUUCUAUCUAGACAGCCAUAAUAUUUAACCAAGCACUAGAAUUCCACUGUACGAAAGGACCCGGAAUUCCACGCCAAUGGUUUAGCAAUUGUUUUGAAAAAAGCACGGUUGCAACGCUAAGCGUGAAAUGUUAAUUGCUGAAAAACUAUCAAGCAAGAAACAAUUGUUAAGGUUAUAGUAGGUCGCAUUUGCGUAAAUAGGCGCGGGGUGUACACUUUGUAAGAAGCUGAGCUACCGCGUACUAAUUUUUUUUUUUACCUUGUCCUCCUUCAAAGGGCCUUUGAAGGAGGACAAGGUUCGGGGCCCUUUGAAGGGCCUUUGAAGGGCAAAGGUCACACAUUUGUACUUCUUGCUUUUCAAGUAAAUAUUAUUGUGUUUAUAAGAGAGCAAACUUGUAUCAAUAAUAA